rnacentral:rRNA from 1 species
CCAGACUCCUACGGGAGGCAGCAGUGAGGAAUAUUGGUCAAUGGCCGAGAGGCUGAACCAGCCAAGUCGCGUGAGGGAUGACGGCCCUACGGGUUGUAAACCUCUUUUGCCGGGGAGCAAAGAGCGGGACGCGUCCCGCCUCGAGAGUACCCGGAGAAAAAGCAUCGGCUAACUCCGUGCCAGCAGCCGCGGUAAUACGUAGGUGGCAAGCGUUGUUCGGAAUAACUGGGCGUAAAGGAUGCGUAGGCGGUUAAACAAGUUAUAUGUUAAAUAUAUAGGCUUAACCUGUAGAAAGCAUAUAAAACUGUUUAACUAGAGUGCAGGAGAGGUAAGUGGAAUUCCUAGUGUAGCGGUGAAAUGCGUAGAGAUUAGGAAGAACACCAGUGGCGAAGGCGACUUACUGGACUGUAACUGACGCUGAGGCAUGAGAGCAUGGGGAGCAAACAGGAUUAGAUACCCCGGUAUG